AGAACGAACGCUGGCGGCAUGCCUAACACAUGCAAGUCGAACGCUUCCGGGGCUUCGGUCGCGGAGGAGUGGCGCACGGGUGAGUAGCGCGUGGGAACCUGCCCUGUUGUGGGGGAUAACCGAGGGAAACUUCGGCUAAUACCGCAUACGCCCCGGGACUUGGUCUUCGGAUUAGGUCUGGGGGGAAAGAUUGAUCGCAGCAGGAGGGGCCCGCGUCAGAUUAGCUGGUUGGUGGGGUAACGGCUCACCAAGGCGAUGAUCCGUAGCUGGUCUGAGAGGAUGAUCAGCCACACUGGGACUGAGACACGGCCCAGACUCCUACGGGAGGCAGCAGUGGGGAAUAUUGGACAAUGGGGGCAACCCUGAUCCAGCAAUGCCGCGUGAGUGAUGAAGGCCUUAGGGUUGUAAAGCUCUUUCGCCCGCGACGAUGAUGACGGUAGCGGGAGAAGAAGCCCGGCUAACUUCGCGCCAGCAGCCGCGGU
rnacentral:rRNA from 1 species